rnacentral:rRNA from 1 species
ACGUAGGUGGCAAGCGUUGUCCGGAAUUACUGGGCGUAAAGGGUGCGUAGGCGGUUCGUUAAGUCUGUCGUGAAAUCCCCGGGCUCAACCUGGGAAUGGCGAUGGAUACUGGCGAGCUAGAGUGUGUCAGAGGAUGGUGGAAUUCCCGGUGUAGCGGUGAAAUGCGUAGAGAUGUGGAGGAACACCAGUGGCGAAGGCGACUUUCUGGUCUGUAACUGACGCUGAGGCGCGAAAGCGUGGGGAGCAAACAGGA